rnacentral:lncRNA from 1 species
CAAUGACCAUAAGAAACCAAAACCAGGUAAAAACUAUUCCUUUGAAAAGGAAUUGAAAUACAUCUAUCAAAUCUAAGGCCAAACUCUCAAGCUGCCAAUAGCUUCCAGGUUUGAAGCAAGAUCAACAACAACAACAACUACAGACUCAAUGUAUUCCCACAAGUAGCUUCUAGGGAGAAGUAGUGUGUACGCAGACCUUAUCCCUAUCUUUAAAAGGCAGAGAGGGCUAUUUCCGGUAGACCUUGGCUCAGGUUUGCAACAAGAUCAGGCAAACAAAAAGUGGGAAAAUGAUGUGAAAAGAAUGGAGGUAUGAUUAAAGGAUAAAGAUGAAAUAUAAAGUUUAGUACCUCAAAAAAGACAUUCAAAGCCCCAUAAGUGGGAAGGAGCUGGCAAUGAAUACUGCCUGCAGACACUUUCAUGAAACAGCAAAUGCUCCUCUAUUGCCCUAUAAGAAAUUUGCCAUGUGAGAAAACAAAAACAAAAUCCACAGCUUAUGAUUGAAUUAAAGAGCUUAUGACCUACAAAAUAUCAAACUGGACCAUAAAAUAACAGUAAACAAAGAAAACUAGGAACAUGAAGAAAUAUAUUAAUGGCUAAAAAAAUAGCUUUGGAUUGAAAUCCUGGUUCAAAUGGGACCCAAUUUAGGUCAAUAUGAUGACCCUUUUAAGCAUAUUCAAUCACUAUUCUAAGGCUUUAAAGUAACACUAGAAAAUGUUUUGCCAGCAUCCAAAGUUGAAGACCUAAUCACUACUAUAUUAUCCCAAAAACUGAAUAAAUUAAAAUGAAAAAGUCAAUGAAAACGCAUAUACUUUGACAAAUACACGCUACAAAGUAACCUUGUGUCCACAUACACAAAUAACAUAUACUACAUCUCAAAUUCUUUAAGCCAAAAAAAAAAAACAAUUAGAUAAGAGAAAACUUAUCUAGGUGCACAUGCAAGAGAGAUUUUCUUCAAAAAUUGAAUCUUUGGGACAAAUGUAGUACAAAUUUGAACAACAAAAACACUAUAGACCAAACAAAAUUCCAAAAGUUGAAAACUAAAAUGACCAUUAAAAUGGAGAUCCUCAAAAGGGUAUUCGCUAAACUUCAAGAAAAUGAAAACCCAAGUGGUAAAAAAGCUUAAAAUGCAGUAGACAUCAACAUUCCUCAAAGAAAAAGCAGAAAGUUGGUAUCUUGGGAGAAUUUGAGUGGUCAGUGAAAGAGAUGUGACUCACCAGUAAAGAGAGAAAACUCUGUGCCUCACAUUGUGGAUUUUUUCUUUACUCUUAUCUUAGACUGAAAAAGCAGAGAAGGGGCUGCCGGAAAAUCAAGAAAGAAAAAGUUCCGGUGAGAAAAAAGGGAAUGGUCUGAAAAGGUUUGAGACACUUUGGAAAAAUGUCUAUCAAUCUUUUUGGAGAAUUUUUUUCUUGAAAAGAAGGAUUUGAUAAUUUUUCGUUACCAAUGCAAGUUUUUUGUUGUCUUCUUCGUUUAGUGUUACCUUUUUUUUUUCUUUUUUCUUUAUAUUUUUUCCUUCUUGGAGUUUUGC